rnacentral:lncRNA from 1 species
UGGAGUUAGGGUUAGAAUUUAAUUUUUCGACUCGGGUAUCUUUCAACCAUCCAUCAAGGUAAACUUGGUUGGAGUUAGUGUUCACUUGUGCUUUCUCAUCUCGGGUAUCUUUCAACCAUCCAUCAACGUAAACUUCUUAGGAGUCAGGGGUGGAUUUUGCUUUCUCAUCUCAAGUAUCUUUCAACCAUCCAUCAAGGUAAGCUUGCUUAGAGUCAGGGGAAGAUUUCUCCUUUUCAACUCGGAUAUCUUUCAGGCACCCAUCAAGGUAAACUUUCUUAGAGUCUAGGGUAGAUUUCUCCUUUUCAACUCGGGUAUCUUUCAACCAUCCAUCAAGGUAAGCUUGGUUGGUGUCAGGAUUAGAUUUUGCUUUCUCAGCUCGGGUGUCUUUCAACCAUCCAUCAAGGUAAACUUGGUUUGAGUCAAGGUUGGAGUUUUCUUUCUCUGCUCGAGUAUCUUUCAACCAUCCAUCAAGGUAAACUUGGUUUGAAUCAGGGUUGGCUUUCACUUUCUCGCCUCUAGUAUCUUUCAACCAUCCAUCAAGGUAAACUUGCUUAGAGUCAGGGGCAAAUUUCUCUUUUUCAACUCAGGUAUCUUUCAACCAUCCAUCAUGGUAAACUUGGUUGGAGUCAGGAUUGACUUUUUCUUUCUCUGCUCGAGUAUCUUUUAGCCAUCCAUCAAGGUAAACUUGGUUUGAAUCAGGGUUGGCUUUGGCUUUCUCUCCUCUAGUAUCUUUCAACCAUCCAUCAAGGUAAACUUGCUUAGAGUCAGGGGCGGAUUUCUCCUUUUCAACUCGGGUAUCUUUCAACCAUCCAUCAACGUAAACUUGGUUGGAGUCAGGAUUGACUUUUUCUUUCUCAGCUCGGGUAUCUUUUAGCCAUCCAUCAAGGUAAACUUGGUUGGAGGCAGGGUUGACUUUUUCCUUCUCACCUCGGGUAUCUUUCAAUCAUCCAUCAAGGUAAACUUGGUCGGAGUUUGGGGAGGAUUUUUGGUUCUUCAAUGGAGUGUUUUUUAGCCACCCAUCAAGAUAAGGCUGAUUACCUUGGUUCAUAUCUCUUGCAAAGCUUACAUGGCCAUUCUACAAUACAAUUCAAUAAAGGGAUAUUAGUUAGUGACAAACUAAUUAUAUGUUUUCGGAUGAUAUAUAUGAUUAAAAAAACACAAGUGUGUGAUGAGACACAUUAUGAUGUAUAGGAAAUAAAUAUUCAUUAUGUAUAUACAGGAGAUAGAUAUAUAAUUUUAAAACAUAAAAAAUAGGAAGUAGAAUAUUUUUAAUUUCAUUACUGCAAAAAACAUCAUAAUUUAGUUUAACUUAUAGAAAAACUCGAUUCUGAGUGUGUUGAAUGCAUGGAAAACAAUAAGGAGAAGGAUCUUAGAGGCAUGCAUAAUUUAGUUAAAUCAUAUAGAAAAACUUGAUUCUUAGUGUGUUGAAUGCAUGAAAAAUAACUAAAAGAAAAGGAUCUUAGAAACUUGCAUGUACAAUUGCAAAUAAAGAUGAAAAUGAUAGAUUAUGAAUAUGUUAAAUUUUAUGAAAUUUAACAUGCAUGCACAAUUGCAAAUAAAGAUGAAAAUGAUAGAUUAUUAUGAUAAAUAGAUGAUGAAAAAUAUAAGUGUUAAAGAUAGAAGAAUGCAUGAGAAGCUAAUAACUCACAAUCAACAAGAGCAUGAGUAAAGGAAGGAGAAACAUAACAACUAUGUGUGUCAUUUCUUUCUAUUAUAUUUUAGUGGGAAAUGUUUUGUUGUGAAAUAUGUAUUGGAGCAGAAGUGAAUUGAGCUAUUUAUAGACAAAUAAGAAGAGAAAGUACAAAUAAACAUUAAUACUUUGUUUGGCAAAAUUAUUUUUUAAGUUUUUAAUUCAUUUCUUAUAUUUUGUCAUGUGCUUAUAGCUCAUUGUUAUGAAUUUAUAGCUUAUUUUGAUAAGUUUUUUCAAGUAGUUUAUAAUUUAUCUUUUUUUUUCUUUCAAUUUUAUCAUUGUAAUCUUAAUUGAAAUAUAUAAAAAAUACUCCUUCCGUUUCUUUAUAAGUGUGAUUUUCUUGUAAAAAAAUUGUUUCUCUUUAAUUGUCACUUGCAAAGUUCAAUAAUUAUUAGAAAGAGAAAAAGUAGAGUGAAUGUAAUAAAUAAUUAAGGAUAUUAUUAUAGAUAAAAGAAUUAUUAUUUAAAAAAUAACAAUAAUAAUUAGUUUCCUUAAUAUGUAUAAAAAAAUAAUAAAAAAAUACUUAAAAAAAAAAGGAGAGAAUAAUAAUUAAACAUAUUUUUUUAUGACAUUUCAUAUUUUCAAACUACAUUAAUUUUGUAAAUUUAAGCGGCUACCUUAUCAGUCAUAUGCAAUAACAAUACUUAUUUUUUUUAUAUAAAAAAAGGCUAACCUUAGAAAAAUGAUGUUUGGACAUAAACAGUACUAUGAAGCACUUAUACACAUUCACAUCUUCAUCAAUUGUUUAUGUGAUCUUUUGUGUAUUUUUAAAAAUUGGUUGUAAAAAGUAGAGGAUAUAAAGAUAAUCACAUAUUACUUUCUUGUUUUCUCCUCUAUUAUCUUAAUUAAAAAAUUACAUUAAUUAAACAUAUUAUAUUAUGUAACGUUAUUUUACAAUUAACGGUAGUCCAACUUUAAUUUUACUAAACAUUAUAGGUUGAUUAUAGAGGAUUGUAAUUUCUUAUUCAAUUCUUAGAUAAGUAUUUAACAUUAAAAUUGUUACAAAAUUGCAAUAAUAGUCUAAUUUUAUUAAAUUCACUUGUGCUAUGUUGGUAGGUGCUUGGUAGUAGGGGGAAACCUUAUCCAAUGUUUCUGAAUGUUGUGCAUGAGACCAGGCUAAUCUACAUCAUGAAGAAACAAUGGAAAUUCUUAACCUUAUCUUAUGUCAUAUACUAAAUCUUAUUCUACCAUUAACAAGUCCUAGAAAUUUACAUUAAUUAAGUUGACUUCAAUUUAAUCCAAUAGAAUAUGAUAUAAACUUAGUUUUUCCAUAAUCUUUGUCUCUAUAGAACCUAUUAUUUUCUUAUCAUUAUCAUGAUUGAACAAUGAUUGAUAUUGGUUCUUUACAUUAUAGAAUUGAGACGAUGUCAGAUAUUCAUUACUACAAACAGAAUUACAAUACAAAAGAUAACCCAUAAAUCACACGUAAUAACACUAAGAUAAUUGCUUUAAACUCCUUACUUAGAGGUCUAACAAACAACUAUCUAAGUUUGAAAAACUAAAGAGACGCCAACACAAUUAUCUCGUUUCUAAAAACAAGACCUUAUUUAGUGCACAACCAAGACCUUACAGGACACCAAAAUUAUAGAAAUUAAAAGCAUAGAAACAACAUGAAAAGUUUUGGGACAGACAUCGACUAACCUAUAUGAACUAGUUUCCUUUUAUUCACUUAGUGGCAUCUGAUGGGGUUGGCACCCAUAAGACAUGCUUAACAGGGAAGAAAUGACAUAAUGGACCUUCCCCAGGCUUCAUUCCAAGUAGGUCAAAUAUAAAAUGAUUAGGAUUCAUGGCAGAUGUGUCUAGGUGGCAAAUUCCCAAAGCAUUCAUUAUGUCUCCAUAUUCACCUUUUAGAAGAACUUUGAAGAUCUUACUCCCUAUGUCUAGGUAGUGGCAAUAGUAAAGUGCAUAUGGGUAAGGCCUAGGGUGACAUGCUACCCAUUUAGGAGCAUAAAUAUCCUUUGAGAUAUCCAAAACUGUGUAGUUCUGCAAAGGUGCACCUGAUGUUGUGGGAUAGCUAGUCGAGUGAAUGUUAUAAUUAGUCUCAGCACCAAUAAUACCAUGAACAAAUUCAAGCAUGGACUCUAAAGAAGUAGGACAAGCCUUGGUCUCCCCUUUAUUGGGUUCAGACUCACAUUGAUUAAUUACGUCUAUCAUGUCUUCACCUUGAGGAGAAUCUUUUGUGAGUGAGAAUAGUUGAAGAAGGCUUGGGCUUUGUGAUUUGGAGACAGGAAUGUCGUCGGCUACUUUUCUUGGCAAGAACGGAGCAUAUUCUCUGAUAGGAAAUUGCAAGGUCAUUACAUUUCCUACAUAAAGAUCAUCUAGACUGAAAAAAGCUACCUUGAAUGCUUCUGUAUGGUCAACUUUUGAAGAUAGUUUUCCAUUCGAUUCUUCCAAGUGUUGUCCAUUUUUCAUGUCGUUCUCUGCAUGCGAGUCUUUUAACCAACCAUCAAGGUAAGCUUGCUUGGAAUUUGGGAUGGAUUUUGCAUUCUCAACAUGGUUAUCUUUCAACCAUCCAUCAAGAUAAAUUAGGUUAGAGUUAGGGGAGGAAUUUUCUUUCUCUGCUCGUGUAUCUUUCAACCAUCCAUCAAGGUAAACUUGGUUGGAGUCAGAGUUAACUAUUGCCUUCUCAGCUCGGGUAUCUUUCAACCAUCCAUCAACGUAAACUUGGUUGGAGUCAGGGGUGGAUUUUGCUUUCUCAUCUCGGGUAUCUUUCAACCAUCCAUCAAGGUAAACUUGGUUGGAGUCAGGGUUGACUUUGACUUUCUCCGCUCUAGUAUCUUUCAACCAUCCAUCAAGAUAAACUCGGUUGGAGUCAGAGUUGGAUUUUGCUUUUUGGACUCGGAUAUCUUUCAACCAUCCAUCAAGGUAAAUUUGGUUGGAGUCAGGGUUGACUUUUUCUUUCUCGGCUCUAGUAUCUUUCAACCAUCCAUCCAGGUAAACUUGGUUGGAGUCAGGGUUGACUUUUUCUUUCUCGCCUCGGGUAUCUUUCAACCAUCCAUCAAGGUAAACUUGGUUGGAGUCAUGGUUGGAUUUUUCUUUCUCACCUCGGGUAUCUUUCAACCAUCCAUCAAGGUAAACUUGGUUGGAGUCAGGGUUGACUUUUUCUUUCUCGGCCCGGGUAUCUUUCAACCACCCAUCAAGGUAAACUUCGUUGGAGUCAGAGUUGACUUUUUCUUUUUGAACUCGAGUAUCUUUCAACCAUCUAUCAAGGUAAACUUGGUUGGAGUCAGAGCUGGCUUUUUCUUUUUGGACUCGGGUAUCUUUCAACCAUCCAUCAAGGUAAACUUGGUUGGAGUUAGGGUUGUGUUUUUCUUUCUCAGCUCGGCUAUCUUUCAACCAUCCAUCAAGGUAAACUUGGUUGGAGUCAGGGUUGCUUUUUUCUUUCUCGGCUCGGGUAUCUUUCAACCAUCCAUCAAGGUAAACUUGGUUGGAUUUUUCUUUCUCAUCUCGGGUAUCUUUCAACCAUCCAUCAAGGUAAACUUGGUUGGAGUCAGGGUUGAUUUUUUCUUUCUCGGCUCGUGUAUCUUUCAACCAUCCAUCAAGGUAAACUUGGUUAGAAUCAGGAUUGACUUUUUCUUUCUCAGCCCGAGUAUCUUUCAACCAUCCAUCAAGGUAAACUAGAUUUGAGUCAGGGUUGACUUUUGCUUUCUCGGUUCGGGAAAGGUAAACUUGGUUAGAAUCAGGAUUGACUUUUUCUUUCUCAGCCCGAGUAUCUUUCAACCAUCCAUCAAGGUAAACUAGAUUUGAGUCAGGGUUGACUUUUGCUUUCUCGGUUCGGGUAUCUUUCAACCAUCCAUCAAGGUAAACUUGGUUGGAGUCAAGGUUGACUUUUGCUUUCUCACCUCGAGUAUCUUUCAACCAUCCAUCAAGGUAAACUUGGUCGGAGUUAGGGGAGGGUUUUUGGUUCUUCAAUGGAGUGUUUUUGAGCCACCCAUCAAGAUAAGGCUGAUCAACUUGGUUCAUAUCUCUUGCAAGGCUUCCAUGGUCAUUCUACAAUACAAUUGAAUAAAGAGAUAUUAACGAGUGACAAACUAAUUACAUGUUUUGGAUGGUAUAUAUGAUUAUAAAAAUACAACUGUGUUAUGAGACACAUUUUGUUGUAUAGGGAAGAAAUCUUCAUUAUGUAUAUACAGGAUAUAGAUACAUAAUUUGAAACCUAAAAAAUAGGAAGUAGAGUAUUUUUAAUUGCAUUACAGAAG